rnacentral:rRNA from 1 species
UACAGAGGGUGCGAGCGUUAAUCGGAAUGACUGGGCGUAAAGGGUGCGUAGGUGGUUAUUUAAGUUAGUUGUGAAAGCCCUGGGCUCAACCUGGGAAUUGCAACUAAAACUGAGUAGCUAGAGUAGGUGAGAGGAGUGUGGAAUUUCCGGUGUAGCGGUGAAAUGCGUAGAGAUCGGAAAGAACACCAGUGGCGAAGGCGGCACUCUGGCACCAUACUGACACUGAGGCACGAAGGCGUGGGGAGCAAACAGG